rnacentral:misc_RNA from 1 species
UCUCCGUAGGUGAACCUGCGGAGGGAUCAUUACAGAGUUCAUGCCCUACCGGGUAGAUCUCCCACCCUAUGUUAUUAUUACUUUGUUGCUUUGGCGGGCCGUUAGGCUCCGGCCCGACUACCGGCCCCGGCUGGUAAGCGCCCGCCAGAGGACCCAAAACCCUGAAUAUUAGUGUCGUCUGAGUACUAUUUAAUAGUUAAAACUUUCAACAACGGAUCUCUUGGUUCUG